rnacentral:tRNA from 1 species
GAGGGUAUAGCUCAGUGGCAGAGUGCAUGCUUAGCAUGCACAAGGUCCUGGGUUCGAUCCCCAGUACCUCCA